GGUAUGUCGCUUAUGCGAGAUUAUAUAUACUGGCUUGCGAAGCACUGUUGUUGUUUUGUCAUGUAAAGAAAGCAUGUUUUCUUCCCCACAAUAAACCACCUUAUAUGUUUGGAAGAUUUGGAAAUACUGUAUGUAGCUAUAUCAGUGAAAACUGCGGAUAUUCCUGGUCAUAACACCGAUAUUUGACUGCCUCCUUAUAUAUAACCUAAGUACCAGACAAAUCCUCCAGUACGGAAAGUACAAGUCCACUUUCGGCAGAAACAUCAACGGAAGUACCCAAAAUAACUGGUAAAUUUCCAAAAGCCACCCUCUCUCCUACCGCGACACCCUUGGUGGGGUACCCUUCUGUUGUACCCAAAGGUGAAGUGAACGAGGAUGAACCUGACAGUAAUGAUAUUACUGCUAAAAGUUCUCGCGCACCAGCAUGGCUUUAUAUCGUUGUGUCGGUUACUUCUCUAUGCGCGAUCACGUCCGUGAUUUCCCUGGUGUUAUUGCUACGAGCGCGGAAGAGAUCUAAAAUACGGAAUCGAGGCGAAGUUGGAGGAGAUGAAAGAGAGGAGGAAUUUCCUUUACACGAGAUUCCACCUGAAAACGAUGCGGAAGGACAACGUUUACAACCAAACGACGAAGAAGACCAGCGUUUACCAGCAAAUGCUGAUGAGGAACAAGGACUUCUACAGCCCGAUAAUGGCGGAGAGCAGAAUCCACGAAGGCAGAAUCACGAGGAACUGGGUUUGCAGCCGACUGAAAGGUAUUUACACUGGCCUAAUCCCGAUGUUGAGGAAUAUGUGGCACGUCAGGAAACCCAGCCUCCUGUUCAGUGCUGUACUUCAUCUAGGCCUACUUCAACGAUAUCAGGAAGUCAAGAGGAAGGGAAUUCAUCAUCUCUGAACAUACAGGCUGAAGUUGAAAAUUAGGACGAUCCAUUGGAGAUACACUACUUUAUUUUUGCUGUACAUAUUUUGUAUAUUUAGGGGGGGUUAGAUUUAUAUUAAUUAAAU
rnacentral:misc_RNA from 1 species